UCCCUGGUAGCUUAGCUGGUAAAGAAUCCACCUGCAAUGUGGGAGACCCAGGUUCAAUCCCUGGGUUGGGAA
rnacentral:tRNA from 1 species